GACAGAGGGUGCAAACGUUGUUCGGAAUUAUUGGGCGUAAAGGGUGCGUAGGCGGUUUGGUAAGUCUGAUGUGAAAUCUAUGGGCUCAACUCAUAGUCUGCAUCGGAAACUGCCGGGCUUGAGUGUGGGAGAGGUGAGUGGAAUUCCUGGUGUAGCGGUGAAAUGCGUAGAUAUCAGGAGGAACACCUGUGGCGAAAGCGGCUCACUGGACCAUAACUGACGCUGAUGCACGAAAGCUAGGGGAGCAAACAGG
rnacentral:rRNA from 1 species